GUUAAGGCCGGGAAGAAGCAGGCAGGGUGAUGGGCGGGGCAGGACCGAGGCUGGAGGAGGUGAGUAGGCGAGAGAGCGCGGCGGAGGCUGCCUGGAUGACUGGCUGAGCUAAGCGUACAGGACUAGCUUACGUCCUCCCCAGGACGGGUCAGGGGCGGGCGAGGAUCAGCAGAUGACCCACCAGCCCUGGGCCCCAGCACACCUCAGACCACCCCUCGGUGCCCCCAGUCACCCCACCUCCUCUCCAGGAUCUCCCGGCCAUUGCUGUCUGUGUAGAAGAGUCCUUUUGUCUCCAGCGCAGUGUCAAAGCGACUAAUGACCUCCUUCCCCCAGUCAUCACUGUACCCAACAGGAUGGUAAGGUUGUAAGCCUCAUCUGAACUCCACUCUGCCCUUCCCCUGGCCCCCAGUCCCAGCCUGCACCACUCACCCUACAGGUAUUGGCCCCACUGUCCACUCCAGCUCCAGGUGCCGCUGUCCUGGGUACAGGCGGACCACCUGGGAACACCACGCUGAGAAGUUCUGGUGCACUUCCUGCACCAAGGCUGUCUGUGGGCACAUGGGGGUGGAGGGCAGGUGUAAGCACACACCUGAGCAGAGGUGAGCCCUGAAAACAUCCACCCCUGCCACUGGCUCUCCCACUGGCUCAAAUGCACAUGUGAUGUCUGGAGCUUGAGCAGCCAUUUUGGGUCAUGAGGUGGAAGCUGAAUACUGAGGAAGACAGAGCAAUAAGCUAGAAGGGGCCUAGAUGAAUAAUGAAUCACCCCACCUGCCCAGACUUUCUUUUAGAUAGAAAGAAACUUCCAUCUUGUUUUAGGCACAGUUAAUUUGGGCAACUGUUACAAUAGGUAAAACUAUGUCCAAAUACAGUGACCCAGGUAUGCAGGAGUUCACCUCAAGAGAAUCAUGUGAGGCCUGCCAUUACCUUCUCCAUUUCCUCCCUAAGAGGAAACAUCAACAAGAAGCCCCAGGAAACCCCACAAGUGUGAGCCCCUAUUCCCAACCCUGAAGCACCCUCAGAUACCCACCCUAAGUGAGAAUCACCCAAGCCCUAAGCAAGCGUGAACUCUCAAAUAUCCACCCAGAUAAAAUCCCCUCCUACCACAGAUCCUUGGUGAAAUCUUCAAGCAGUUACACAUGGUUCUCCCCAUUCAUGGGCCAAAUGGGAACACCCCACCCCCAAUUUCAAAAGCCAUGUAUACUCUUAACACUCACUACAGAUGUGAACACCUUUCUGUGUGCUUCCACAGUGUGACUGUCACACAACCAGCUAUGAAUAUCAGCCCUGUGGAAAGAUCCUCAGAAAAUUCCCCUGAAGUGUUUGCUUUCUUUUGCUGGUUUUUUGUUUUGUUUUGUUUUUUAAAUGGAAGUACUGGGAACUGAACCCAGGACCUUGUGCAUGCUAAGCAUGCACUUUACCACUGAGCUAUUUCCCUCCCCUGCCCCUUUUCCUUUGUUUGUUUGUUUCUUUCUUCUGGGGGGGGACUUGGGCUUUUAUUUUUAUUCCUUUUUUUUUUUAAUGGAGGUACUAGGGAUUGGACACAGGACCUCGUGCAUGCUGGACAUGCACCCUACCACGAAGCUAUACCUUCCCCCCUUAGCCUUCUUAUCUGUUGUAGAUGUAAAUCCUCCUCCCCACCCCAUAUAUGGCACACCACCCUCCCCACACACACCCCAACAUGUGCCAUCCCCAAAUGUCCACUCAUUAGUCUUGGCCCCUGACCUUCACAAGGUGGGUUUGAGCCCAGCCGCUCACAAGCAGUGGUUUCUGUCGGCUGGGUCUGAAGAUGUAGGCCCCUGAGGCCUGGGAGCUUUGGUUGUCACCCAUACUGGCGUUGUACCUGGGGCCAGGGCAGGUGAGAGUCAGGUAAGGGCCCCCAGCUCCACUCAUGCCCCCUCCUUGGCCUGGUGGUCCUCCCUCACCAGUAGAAGGCUUGGUGAAUGGGCAGCACGAGGUUCUGGUCCAAGUUCUCCAUCUCCACCAAGAGCCCCGUGUCAGGGUCAAACUUAGCCCUGAUGU